rnacentral:rRNA from 1 species
GACGAACGCUGGCGGCGUGCUUAACACAUGCAAGUCGAACGGAAAGGCCCUGCUUUUGUGGGGUUCUCGAGUGGCGAACGGGUGAGUAACACGUGAGUAACCUGCCCUUGACUUUGGGAUAACUUCAGGAAACUGGGGCUAAUACCGUAUAGGAGCUCCUGCUGCAUGGUGGGGGUUGGAAAGUUUCGGCGGUUGGGGAUGGACUCGCGGCUUAUCAGCUUGUUGGUGGGGUAGUGGCUUGCCCAGGCUUUGACGGGUAGCCGGCCUGAGAGGGUGACCGGGCACAUUGGGACUGAGAGAGGGACCAGACGGGAACGGGAGGCAACGGUCGGGAAUCUUGCACAAUGGGACGAAGUGUGAGGAGACAACGCUGCGUGCGUAAAGACGGUCUUUGGGUUAUGAAAAGCUUUCGCCUGAGACGAAGCGUGAGUGACGGUAAUGGGUAAAGAAGCACCGGCUAACUACGUG